UUUAAAUUAUGUAUUAAAAUGCUAUGUUCUAUGUAAUGUUAAUUUAAAAUAAAUAAAAGGUUGGAUCGAUUAUCAAGAACGAAGUAUUUGGGAACUGAUUGGGAAAUAGUUUUUAUUAUAGAUUAAGACACGAGCAUGUUAAUUGUUGUAUCAAUUACAUGAUAACUUUCUAAUGACUCGGAAGAUCCUAAUGCUCUUGGUUACUCCAAUGUCAAUGUAUUAGAACAUUAACGUCCUUUAAAUAGUGUGAGAUGUGAUUGCUAAAUAUCAUUAGGAGUGAUAUCAAGUGCCGAGUAUAUUGUAUUAUAAUAACUAAAUAUGAAGUUCUCAUUAGUGUGCGUGUUGUUGAUGUCUGUGUUUAUGUUGUUUAUUACAAAGAGCUCUGCCAACCCUAAAGUUAACUUCGGAGCUAUUAAAAAAGGCCUAGGUGUUCUGAGCGCGGCGGGCAUGGCUGAAAACUUAUAUGAAGAAUGGAAACACAAACAUGGACACUGAUAUAGAUUUAGUUCAAUAAAUAAAAUUUUAACACGA